GAUGAACGCUGACAGAAGGCUUAACACAUGCAAGUCAACUUGGUGGCGGACGGGUGAGUAACGCGUAAAGAACUUGCCUCACAGCUAGGGACAACAUUUAGAAAUGAAUGCUAAUACCUGAUCCUGUGAGAGAGCUUUGCGUUCCAUUAGCUAGUUGGAGAGGUAACAGCUCACGAAGGCGAGGAUGGGUAGCCGGCCUGGGAGGGUGAACGGCCAAAAGGGGCCGGGGUAGUGGCCCGUACUGAUACGGGCGCCAGCGGUGGGGAAGAUUGGACAAUGGACCGAAGUCUGAUCCAGCCAUUCUGUGUGCAAGAUAAAGUUAUUCGGAAUGUAAAGUGCUUUCAUUUGGGAAGCGUUACCAACAGAAGAAGUGACGGCUAAAUACGUGCCAGCAGCCGCGGUAAUAC
rnacentral:rRNA from 1 species